UACGUAGGCAGCAAGCGUUGUUCGGAAUUACUGGGCGUAAAGAGUGUGUAGGCGGUGCUCCAAGUCUGGUGUGAAAUCUCCCGGCUUGAACUGGGAGGGUGCAUUAGAAACUGGAAUGCUAGAGGAUGGGAGAGGUAAGCGGAAUUACCUGGUGUAGCGGUGAAAUGCGUAGAUAUCAGGAGGAACACCUGUGGUGUAGACAGCUUACUGGGACC
rnacentral:rRNA from 1 species